GGGGAGCAUCUGACAUCCUGGAACAGCACCCCACACCUCCAGGGGGAGCAUCUGACAGCCUGGAGCAACACCCCACACCUCCAGGGGAGCAUCUGACAGCCUGGAACAGCACUCCACACCUCCAGGGGAGCAUCUGACAGCAUGGACAAGUCCUGCCCCCCGGUUAGUGUCUGAAUUCCUGGAAUAUGUGCUGUCCUUUUCCACCAGAGGAACCAGGAGUAUGGGAGGAACAUGAAAGUGGACAAGGAACGUGACCAUUGAAGCACCACAGGGAGGGGUUUAGACCUCUGGAUGACUGUGGGCAGGCCUGGAUGAUAUCCAGCCUUCCAUAAGAAGCUGGUGGAGCAGAGUGUUCCCUGACUCCUCCAAGUAAAGGAGACUCCCUUUCCCGGUCUGCUCAGUAAUGGGUGCCUUCCCAGACACUGGUGUUACCACUUGACCAAGGGGCCCUCAAGCAGCCCUUAUGCGGGUGUGACAGAGGGCUCACCUCUUGCCUUCUAUUCACUUCUCACAAUGUCCCUUCAGCACCUGACCCUACACCCACUGGUUAUUACUAGAUUAUGUUAGUAAUGCAACAAAAAGUAAUAUUAAAA
ensembl:lncRNA novel transcript, antisense to TTC34